rnacentral:rRNA from 1 species
GCUAAACGCGAAGAACCUUACCUACACUUGACAUGCCUCUUUUGGAUUUCAGAGAUGAUUUCCUUCGGUUCGGCCGGGGAGUGCACAGGUGCUGCAUGGCUGUCGUCAGCUCGUGUCGUGAGAUGUUGGGUUAAGUCCCGCAACGAGCGCAACCCUUAUCGUAUGUUGCCAGCAUUUAGUUGGGCACUCAUGCGAGACUGCCGGUGAUAAGCCGGAGGAAGGCGGGGACGACGUCAAGUCAUCAUGGCCCUUACGUGUAGGGCUAGAAACGUGCUACAAUGGUGGUCACAAUGGGCAGCGAAGUCGUGAGGCUAAGCUAAAUCCCAAAAAGCCAUCUCAGUUCAGAUUGUAGUCUGCAACUCGACUACAUGAAGUUGGAAUCGCUAGUAAUCGCAAAUCAGCAUGUUGCGGUGAAUACGUUCCCGGGUCUUGUACACA